rnacentral:rRNA from 1 species
UACGUAGGGUGCGAGCGUUGUCCGGAAUUAUUGGGCGUAAAGAGCUCGUAGGCGGUUUGUCGCGUCUGCUGUGAAAACCCGAGGCUCAACCUCGGGCCUGCAAUGGGUACGGGCAGACUAGAGUGCGGUAGGGGAGAUUGGAAUUCCUGGUGUAGCGGUGGAAUGCGCAGAUAUCAGGAGGAACACCAAUGGCGAAGGCAGAUCUCUGGGCCGUAACUGACGCUGAGGAGCGAAAGCAUGGGGAGCGAACAGG